rnacentral:rRNA from 1 species
AACGAACGCUGGCGGCAGGCCUAACACAUGCAAGUCGAACGCCCUAGCAAUAGGGAGUGGCAGACGGGUGAGUAACGCGUGGGAACGUGCCUUUCGGUUCGGAAUAACUCAGGGAAACUUGAGCUAAUACCGGAUACGCCCUUCGGGGGAAAGAUUUAUUGCCGAAAGAUCGGCCCGCGUCCGAUUAGCUAGUUGGUGAGGUAAAGGCUAACCAAGGCGACGAUCGGUAGCUGGUCUUAGAAGAUGAUCAGCCACACUGGGACUGAGACACGGCCCAGACUCCUACGGGAGGCAGCAGUGGGGAAUAUUGGACAAUGGGCGCAAGCCUGAUCCAGCCAUGCCGCGUGAGUGAUGAAGGCCCUAGGGUUGUAAAGCUCUUUCGCCAGGGACGAUAAUGACGGUACCUGGAUAAGAAGCCCCGGCUAACUUCGUGCCAGCCGCCGCAGUAA